CGCCUCCUGCAAACCCCUAUGUAUAGGAGGUCCAGCCUGCCCAGUGACCACAAGUUUAACGGCCGCGGUAUUUUGACCGUGCAAAGGUAGCGCAAUCACUUGUCUUUUAAAUGAAGACCUGUAUGAAUGGCCAAACGAGGGCUUAGCUGUCUCCCCUGUCAUGUCAGUGAAAUUGAUCUGCCCGUGCAGAAGCGGACAUAACUCUACAAGACGAGAAGACCCUUUGGAGCUUAAGGUACAAACCUCACCUACGUCAAACACUUCCUCAACAAGUUUAAACCUAGUAGAACAUGAAGUUUUACCUUCGGUUGGGGCGACCAUGGAGAAAAAGAGAUCCUCCAAGUGGAAUGGUUACAAACCUAAAACCAAGAAAGACAUUUCCAAGUCACAGAAAAUCUGACCAAUCAUGAUCCGGCCCAAGCCGAUCAACGAACCAAGUUACCCUAGGGAUAACAGCGCAAUCCCCUCUAAGAGUCCAUAUCGACGAGAGGGUUUACGACCUCGAUGUUGGAUCAGGACAUCCUAAUGGUGCAGCCGCUAUUAAGGGUUCGUUUGUUCAACGAUUAAAGUCCU
rnacentral:rRNA from 1 species